CCUACGGGGGGCAGCAGUAGGGAAUAUUGCUCAAUGGGGGAAACCCUGAAGCAGCAACGCCGCGUGGAGGAUGAAGGUUUUCGGAUUGUAAACUCCUGUUGUUAGAGAAGAAAAUGACGGUAUCUAACGAAUAAGCAACGGCUAACUCCGUUCCAGCAGCCGCGGGAAUACUGAGGGUGCAAGCGUUACUCGGAAUCACUGGGCGUAAAGAGCGCGUAGGCGGGAUUGCAAGUCAGAUGUGAAAACCUAUGGCUUAACCAUAGAACUGCAUUUGAAACUGUUAUUCUGGAGUGUGGGAGAGGUAUGUGGAAUUCGUGGUGUAGGGGUGAAAUGCGUAGAGAUCAAGAGGAAUACUCAUUGCGAAGGCGACCUGCUAGAACAUAACUGACGCUGAUGCGCGAAAGCGUGGGGAGCAAACAGGAUUAGAUACCCGGGUAGUC
rnacentral:rRNA from 1 species